GGGGCGCGACCGCCUGCAAGGGGCAGCAAGCUCCGCUCCUGGACGUCAGAGAAAAGGCACCUGUUCCUCGCUGCGCCUGGGAGCCACGGAGGAUGUUUGGGCGACCUAAGUUCUCUGCGCGCUGCCUUCUCUUUCCCACAUCCUCGCGCUCCAGGAAUAAGCCGAGGAGUGGGUGUUGGUCCGGGAGGACCUUGUGCCCCAGUCUCCACACACUGGCACUGUGUUGAAUGAUGAAGAACCUCACAGAGGUACAUCCAUCUUGUCCAUUGAUCAUCCCUGCGCUGUUUCAUACACACUUAAAAUCAAUAAAGUCUUAAAUAUUACA